rnacentral:rRNA from 1 species
GGUUAAGCGACUAAGCGUACACGGUGGAUGCCCUGGCAGUCAGAGGCGAUGAAGGACGUGCUAAUCUGCGAAAAGCGUCGGUAAGGUGAUAUGAACCGUUAUAGCCGGCGAUGUCCGAAUGGGGAAACCCAGUGCAAUUCGUUGCACUAUCGUUAACUGAAUACAUAGGUUAACGAGGCGAACCGGGGGAACUGAAACAUCUAAGUACCCCGAGGAAAAGAAAUCAACCGAGAUUCCCCCAGUAGCGGCGAGCGAACGGGGAGCAGCCCAGAGUCUGAAUCAGCUUGUGUGUUAGUGGAACGGUCUGGAAAGUCCGACGGUACAGGGUGAUAGUCCCGUACACCAAAAUGCACAGGCUGUGAACUCGAAGAGUAGGGCGGGACACGUGGUAUCCUGUCUGAAUAUGGGGGGACCAUCCUCCAAGGCUAAAUACUCCUGACUGACCGAUAGUGAACCAGUACCGUGAGGGAAAGGCGAAAAGAACCCCGGCGAGGGGAGUGAAAAAGAACCUGAAACCGUGUACGUACAAGCAGUGGGAGCACCUUCGGGUGUGACUGCGUACCUUUUGUAUAAUGGGUCAGCGACUUAUAUUCUGUAGCAAGGUUAACCGUAUAGGGGAGCCGCAGGGAAACCGAGUCUUAACUGGGCGUUAAGUUGCAGGGUAUAGACCCGAAACCCGGUGAUCUAGCCAUGGGCAGGUUGAAGGUUGGGUAACACUAACUGGAGGACCGAACCGACUAAUGUUGAAAAAUUAGCGGAUGACUUGUGGCUGGGGGUGAAAGGCCAAUCAAACCGGGAGAUAGCUGGUUCUCCCCGAAAGCUAUUUAGGUAGCGCCUCGUGAACUCAUCUUCGGGGGUAGAGCACUGUUUCGGCUAGGGGGUCAUCCCGACUUACCAACCCGAUGCAAACUACGAAUACCGAAGAAUGUUAUCACGGGAGACACACGGCGGGUGCUAACGUCCGUCGUGAAGAGGGAAACAACCCAGACCGCCAGCUAAGGUCCCAAAGUCAUGGUUAAGUGGGAAACGAUGUGGGAAGGCACAGACAGCCAGGAUGUUGGCUUAGAAGCAGCCAUCAUUUAAAGAAAGCGUAAUAGCUCACUGGUCGAGUCGGCCUGCGCGGAAGAUGUAACGGGGCUAAACCAUGCACCGAAGCUGCGGCAGCGACACUAUGUGUUGUUGGGUAGGGGAGCGUUCUGUAAGCCUGCGAAGGUGACCUGUGAGGGUUGCUGGAGGUAUCAGAAGUGCGAAUGCUGACAUAAGUAACGAUAAAGCGGGUGAAAAGCCCGCUCGCCGGAAGACCAAGGGUUCCUGUCCAACGUUAAUCGGGGCAGGGUGAGUCGACCCCUAAGGCGAGGCCGAAAGGCGUAGUCGAUGGGAAACAGGUUAAUAUUCCUGUACUUGGUGUUACUGCGAAGGGGGGACGGAGAAGGCUAUGUUAGCCGGGCGACGGUUGUCCCGGUUUAAGCAUGUAGGCUGGUUGUCCAGGCAAAUCCGGAUAAUCAAGGCUGAGGUGUGAUGACGAGGCACUACGGUGCUGAAGUAACAAAUGCCCUGCUUCCAGGAAAAGCCUCUAAGCAUCAGGUAACAUCAAAUCGUACCCCAAACCGACACAGGUGGUCAGGUAGAGAAUACCAAGGCGCUUGAGAGAACUCGGGUGAAGGAACUAGGCAAAAUGGUGCCGUAACUUCGGGAGAAGGCACGCUGGUGUGUAGGUGAAGCCCCUGCGGGUGGAGCUGAGACCAGUCGAAGAUACCAGCUGGCUGCAACUGUUUAUUAAAAACACAGCACUGUGCAAACACGAAAGUGGACGUAUACGGUGUGACGCCUGCCCGGUGCCGGAAGGUUAAUUGAUGGGGUUAUCCGUAAGGAGAAGCUCUUGAUCGAAGCCCCGGUAAACGGCGGCCGUAACUAUAACGGUCCUAAGGUAGCGAAAUUCCUUGUCGGGUAAGUUCCGACCUGCACGAAUGGCGUAAUGAUGGCCAGGCUGUCUCCACCCGAGACUCAGUGAAAUUGAACUCGCUGUGAAGAUGCAGUGUACCCGCGGCAAGACGGAAAGACCCCGUGAACCUUUACUAUAGCUUGACACUGAACAUUGAGCCUUGAUGUGUAGGAUAGGUGGGAGGCUUUGAAGCGUGGACGCCAGUCUGCGUGGAGCCAACCUUGAAAUACCACCCUUUAAUGUUUGAUGUUCUAACGUUGGCCCCUGACCGGGGUUGCGGACAGUGUCUGGUGGGUAGUUUGACUGGGGCGGUCUCCUCCCAAAGCGUAACGGAGGAGCACGAAGGUUAGCUAAUCCUGGUCGGACAUCAGGAGGUUAGUGCAAUGGCAUAAGCUAGCUUGACUGCGAGCGUGACGGCGCGAGCAGGUGCGAAAGCAGGUCAUAGUGAUCCGGUGGUUCUGAAUGGAAGGGCCAUCGCUCAACGGAUAAAAGGUACUCCGGGGAUAACAGGCUGAUACCGCCCAAGAGUUCAUAUCGACGGCGGUGUUUGGCACCUCGAUGUCGGCUCAUCACAUCCUGGGGCUGAAGUAGGUCCCAAGGGUAUGGCUGUUCGCCAUUUAAAGUGGUACGCGAGCUGGGUUUAGAACGUCGUGAGACAGUUCGGUCCCUAUCUGCCGUGGGCGCUGGAGAAUUGAGGGGGGCUGCUCCUAGUACGAGAGGACCGGAGUGGACGCAUCACUGGUGUUCGGGUUGUCAUGCCAAUGGCACUGCCCGGUAGCUAAAUGCGGAAGAGAUAAGUGCUGAAAGCAUCUAAGCACGAAACUUGCCCCGAGAUGAGUUCUCCCUGAGACUUUAAGUCUCCUGAAGGAACGUUGAAGACGACGACGUUGAUAGGCCGGGUGUGUAAGCGCAGCGAUGCGUUGAGCUAACCGGUACUAAUGAACCGUGAGGCUUAACCUU